rnacentral:rRNA from 1 species
GAUGAACGCUGGCGGCGUGCUUAACACAUGCAAGUCGAGCGAGCAAAGUUCUUCGGAGCUUUUCUAGCGGCGGACGGGUGAGUAACACGUGGGCAACCUGCCUCAUAGAGGGGAAUAGCCUUCCGAAAGGAAGAUUAAUACCGCAUAACAUUGUUGAAAGGCAUCUUUUAACAAUCAAAGGAGCAAUCCGCUAUGAGAUGGGCCCGCGGCGCAUUAGCUAGUUGGUGAGGUAACGGCUCACCAAGGCGACGAUGCGUAGCCGACCUGAGAGGGUGAUCGGCCACAUUGGAACUGAGACACGGUCCAGACUCCUACGGGAGGCAGCAGUGGGGAAUAUUGCACAAUGGGGGAAACCCUGAUGCAGCAACGCCGCGUGAGUGAUGAAGGUCUUCGGAUUGUAAAGCUCUGUCUUUAGGGACGAUAAUGACGGUACCUAAGGAGGAAGCCACGGCUAACUACGUGCCAGCAGCCGCAGUAACAC